GACGAACGCUGGCGGCGUGCUUAACACAUGCAAGUCGAACGCUGAAGCCCAGCUUUUGUUGGGUGGAUGAGUGGCGAACGGGUGAGUAACACGUGAGUAACCUGCCCCCUUCUUUGGGAUAACGCCCGGAAACGGGGGCUAAUACUGGAUAUUCACUGGUCUUCGCAUGGGGGUUGGUGGAAAGGGUGUUGCUGGUGGGGGAUGGGCUCGCGGCCUAUCAGCUUGUUGGUGGGGUGAUGGCCUACCAAGGCUUUGACGGGUAGCCGGCCUGAGAGGGUGACCGGUCACAUUGGGAGUGAGAUCGGGCCCGGACUCCUACGGGGGGCAGCAGUGGGGAAUAUUGCACAAUGGGCGCAAGACUGAUGCAGAGACGCCGCGUGAGGGAUGGAGGCCUUGGGGUUGUGAACCUCUUUCGCUAAUGGUCAAGCCGCAACAAUGGUUGUGGUGAGGGUAGUGGGUAAAGAAGCGCCGGCUAACUACGUG
rnacentral:rRNA from 1 species